GACUCCGUGGCUACAGAACGAACGCUGGCGGCAUGCCUAACACAUGCAAGUCGAACGAGACCUUCGGGUCUAGUGGCGCACGGGUGCGUGACGCGUGGGAACCUGCCUUUAGGUUCGGAAUAACUCAGAGAAAUUUGAGCUAAUACCGGAUAAUGUCUUCGGACCAAAGAUUUAUCGCCUUUAGAUGGGCCCGCGUUGGAUUAGCUAGUUGGUGGGGUAAAGGCCUACCAAGGCGACGAUCCAUAGCUGGUCUGAGAGGAUGAUCAGCCACAUUGGGACUGAGACACGGCCCAAACUCCUACGGGAGGCAGCAGUGGGGAAUAUUGGACAAUGGGCGCAAGCCUGAUCCAGCCAUGCCGCGUGAGUGAUGAAGGUCUUAGGAUUGUAAAGCUCUUUCACCGAUGAAGAUAAUGACGGUAGUCGGAGAAGAAGCCCCGGCUAACUUCGUG
rnacentral:rRNA from 1 species